CCUUCAGUGAUGAGUGACUCUGACUUUCGUUCUUCUGAAUCUGCUGAAGCGAUUUUAUUGACUCUGACAAGG